GACGAACUGUGCGAACGUUAUUCGGAAUCACUGGGCUUACAGGGUGCGUAGGCGGCUUGUUAAGUAGGGUGUGAAAUCCCCCGGCCCAACCGGGGAAUGGCGCUCUAAACUAGCAGGCUUGAGUGAGCUAGGGGUGCAUGGAACUUCCAGUGGAGCGGUGAAAUGUGUUGAUAUUGGAAGGAACACCGGAGGCGAAAGCGGUGCACUGGGGCUUAACUGACGCUGAGGCACGAAAGCCAGGGGAGCGAACGGG
rnacentral:rRNA from 1 species